CAUUCAUGGAGAGUUUGAUCCUGGCUCAGGACGAACGCUGGCGGCGUGCUUAACACAUGCAAGUCGAACGAUGAAGCCCUUCGGGGUGGAUUAGUGGCGAACGGGUGAGUAACACGUGGGCAAUCUGCCCUUCACUCUGGGACAAGCCCUGGAAACGGGGUCUAAUACCGGAUACGACUGCGGGAGGCAUCUCCUGUGGUGGAAAGCUCCGGCGGUGAAGGAUGAGCCCGCGGCCUAUCAGCUUGUUGGUGGGGUAAUGGCCCACCAAGGCGACGACGGGUAGCCGGCCUGAGAGGGCGACCGGCCACACUGGGACUGAGACACGGCCCAGACUCCUACGGGAGGCAGCAGUGGGGAAU
rnacentral:rRNA from 1 species